AUUGAACGCUGGCGGUAGGCCUAACACAUGCAAGUCGAACGAGUGGCGGAAGGGUGAGUAAUGUGUGGGAAACUGCCCGAUGGAGGGGGAUAAAUACUGGAAACGGUAGCUAAUACCGCAUACCAUCGGAUGUGCACAGAUGGGAUUAGCGAGUAGGUGGGGUAACGGCUCACCUAGGCGACGAUCCCUAGCUGGUCUGAGAGGAUGACCAGCCACACUGGAACUGAGAAACGGGCCAGACUCCUACGGGAGGCAGCAGUGGGGAAUAUUGCACAAUGGGCGCAAGCCUGAUGCAGCCAUGCCGCGUGUAUGAAGAAGGCCUUCGGGUUGUAAAGUACUUUCAGCGGGGAGGCGUUACCCGCAGAAGAAGCACCGGCUAACUCCGUGCCAGCCGCCGCGGUAAUUC
rnacentral:rRNA from 1 species